GUCUAUGGCCAUACCACCCUGAACACACCCGAUCUUGUCUGAUCUCAGAAGCUAAGCAGGGUUGGGUCUGGUUAGUACUUGGAUGGGAGGAAUGGCAGUGAAACCACAAGCCAUGCUUA
ensembl:rRNA 5S_rRNA 5S ribosomal RNA